UGCGGAGGGAUCAUUACCGAGUUUACAACUCCCAAACCCAAUUGUGACGUUACCAAACUGUUGCCUCGGCGGGGUCACGCCCCGGGUGCGUCGCAGCCCCGGAACCAGGCGCCCGCCGGAGGAACCAACCAAACUCUUUCUGUAGUCCCCUCGCGGACGUAUUUCUUACAGCUCUGAGCAAAAAUUCAAAAUGAAUCAAAACUUUCAACAACGGAUCUCUUGGUUCUGGCAUCGAUGAAGAACGCAGCGAAAUGCGAUAAGUAAUGUGAAUUGCAGAAUUCAGUGAAUCAUCGAAUCUUUGAACGCACAUUGCGCCCGCCAGUAUUCUGGCGGGCAUGCCUGUCCGAGCGUCAUUUCAACCCUCGAACCCCUCCGGGGGAUCGGCGUUGGGGAUCGGGACCCCUCACACGGGUGCCGGCCCCUAAAUACAGUGGCGGUCUCGCCGCAGCCUCUCCUGCGCAGUAGUUUGCACAACUCGCACCGGGAGCGCGGCGCGUCCACGUCCGUAAAACACCCAACUUUCUGAAAUGUUGACCUCGGAUCAGGUAGGAAUACCCGCUGAACUUAAGCAUAUCAAUAAGCGGAGGA
rnacentral:rRNA from 1 species